rnacentral:lncRNA from 1 species
UUAAAUUAAAAUUUUUUUUGAAUUUAUAAAUUUAAUGGGUUAAUUACACCAUUGGUCCUCAACCUUUGCACUAUUUUUCAAUUUGGUCCCCAACCUUUUUUUUUUGCAAUCUGCUAACACAGCGCCACCGUGGCGCUGACAUGGCGCCUCCUUGGUGCCUCCGUGGUAUUUUUCAUUAAUUUUAACAGCUAUCUAACGGUUGGGACUUAAUUGAAAUGAAAUCAAAAGAUUAGUGACUUGAUUGCAAAAAAAAAAUAAUUGGGGACCAAAUUGAAAAAU